AGGCAGCCUGGGGUCACCCUCUUCUGCUAUUGCCCUGGUGGCUGCGUGGAAUCCUUGGUGGUGUUCCUGGUAGGAGCCCUUUGCGCUUGGGGAGUUAAGUCGACGGAACCUGGGUGAUUUGGAGCAAGGUUUGCGGUUGGAGACACAGACCUGUCUGGACCUCCACCUGCGGUUCCAGCCAUGAACAUACUAGCCACUGCCGUCUCAGUCAAAGCUACCUGCAUGAGACCCCCAACAAUGUCAGGCUGUUGAUGUUCCCUCUUAGAAGGACCUGAAGACUGCGCCUACCAAGGUGAGCUAAGCCUGUCUCCUUGAGCCAGCUGUAUAACUGCAAACCCAACUCUUUGUCUAGCUAAAUGCACUGACUCUGCUUCUCUGCUCAACUCUGUCAUGAACACACUGACCUUCCAGAGUGCUAUGGUGUCCCCAGCAGAGACCCCAGACCAUCCGGGGUGCUACGGUGUCCCCAGCAGAGACCCCAGACCAUCCGGGGUGCUAUGGUGUCCCCAGCAGAGACCCCAGACCAUCCGGGGUGCUACGGUGUCCCCAGCAGAGACCCCAGACCACUCACUCCCAGCUUUCUGUCUAUGUCUGCCCUAGGAAGGUCCAUGCACUUGAACCAGGCUAGAUGCAGAUUCACUCCCCCAGUUAUUUAAUUAAAUUAUUUUAACUUAUUAA